UACGUAGGUGACAAGCGUUGUCCGGAUUUACUGGGCGUAAAGCGCACGUAGGCGGCUUUGCAAGUUAGAGGUGAAAGCCCGGGGCUCAACUCCGGAAUUGCCUUUAAAACUGCAUCGCUAGAGUUGUGGAGAGGUAAGUGGAAUUCCGAGUGUAGAGGUGAAAUUCGUAGAUAUUCGGAAGAACACCAGUGGCGAAGGCGACUUACUGGACACAUACUGACGCUGAGGUGCGAAAGCGUGGGGAGCAAACAGG
rnacentral:rRNA from 1 species